UACGGGGGGAGCAAGCGUUGUUCGGAUUUACUGGGCGUAAAGGGCGCGUAGGCGGCGCAACAAGUCACUUGUGAAAUCUCCGGGCUUAACCCGGAGCGGCCAAGUGAUACUGUCGUGCUAGAGUGCGGAAGGGGCUACUGGAAUUCUCGGUGUAGCGGUGAAAUGCUUAGAUAUCGAGAGGAACACCUGCGGCGAAGGCGGGUAGCUGGGCCGACACUGACGCUGAUGCGCGAAAGCCAGGGGAGCGAACGGG
rnacentral:rRNA from 1 species